rnacentral:tRNA from 1 species
GCAUAAUUAGCUCAGAGGAAGAGCGUUAGACUUGAAAUCUAAAGGACGUAGGUAUGUCCUAGCGGACACGCUUCGCUAACAACUCCUACAUUGUGCG